rnacentral:lncRNA from 1 species
CUGGGGUAGAUGCUGUGGGCUGCUUUCUACAGAAGAUACAGUGCAGGGCUGGAGAUCCCAUCAGAUGUGAUCCCACCUGCAGACCUGCAGGAGUUGGGAGACAAAGGCAUGGGCCCAGUACAUCUUGGACUGGAAGAGCUGAAUGCCUGGAUUCUAUCAGGAGUGACUGAUGAGUACUAUAUUUUACAGAAAUCAAGGCAUUCAGAGUGGACUGAAGAGCCUGUGGGAGGCAGCCCCUGCCUCUGCCAUUGCUCCUGCUAAGUCCAGAGGAAUCUUAUGCGGCUCCGAGGGCUCCCACCCUGGAGGCGUUUGUUAUCCAGAAG